GCAAGGGUCUUGUCUAUUGAAGAGAUGAGGAUUUUGGUUGAAACCCUAGUGGCCACCGUCUCGUUCCUUUUCUCUUUUCUCCGCCAUCGUUGCUAUUUUUUGCAAAAGGUCAGGUGUACAACACCUUUUACAAACCUGGCAUGAUUGAUUGAGGCAAACAUUUUAUCUCCACCAAGUCUCAACCAAACAAGGUCGCUUGGGCAAAAUAUAUACUUCAAGCCAAUAUUGGGCCAGAGGCCCAACAUUCCUAUUUCUUCGAUCAAGUCCGACAUUUAGAAGGCCCAACCAUGAGUGAAAAUGGCAACUAGUGGGCUUCGGUAGGCCCAGUAGCCUAACUUUCUCUUUUGAUUUUCAUAAAAUGUAUAUGUACAUGUAUGUAAAGGAUGCUUGUGUAAAUAUUGGAACCCCAAUAGAUACAAACUUAGAAAUUUUAGCCAAA